rnacentral:rRNA from 1 species
CAGCAGCCGCGGUAAUACGUAGGUGGCAAGCGUUGUCCGGAAUUAUUGGGCGUAAAGGGCUCGCAGGCGGUUCCUUAAGUCUGAUGUGAAAGCCCCCGGCUCAACCGGGGAGGGUCAUUGGAAACUGGGAAACUUGAGUGCAGAAGAGGAGAGUGGAAUUCCACGUGUAGCGGUGAAAUGCGUAGAGAUGUGGAGGAACACCAGUGGCGAAGGCGACUCUCUGGUCUGUAACUGACGCUGAGGAGCGAAAGCGUGGGGAGCGAACAGGAUUAGAUACCCGAGUAGUCCCUGUCUCUUAUAC